GUGUUGUAUGAAAGGGGAGAAGGUUAGCACUCCCCUUGAGAAGGAUGGAAGAGGUCCUAGUGACCUAUACAACACAUAUAUGGUUAAGAGAAGCAGCGUGGCUCAGUGGAAAGAGCAUGGGCUUUGG